rnacentral:misc_RNA from 1 species
CGUGCCCGAAGGAGUUGAAAUUGGCAGCGCGUGAGAAUGGGCAAGUUGGAAUCGCUUGUAGGAGCGCGUGCGAGGCAUUUGGGCAACCGCAGUUUUGUUGCAGUGAGGCCUAUUCUACGCCUGACACGUGCUCGCCGUCUGUUUAUUCACAGUUUUUCAAACACGCUUGCCCACGCGCAUAUAGCUACGCGUACGAUGACAAGACCAGUACGUACACUUGUGCCAACACCGAUUAUGUUAUAAUGUUUUGCCCGCCACCGUAUUCCAGCCAGAAAUUGCUGGGUAGACGAAAGGAUGGAGCAACGCUUCCCCUGGUGAAUAAGACUAUGAUGUACAUAUCAAGCAAACAUGCAAGCAGCGCAUCAUCCUCAGGUGUGGUUCCAGUGCAGCUUAUUGCUGGUGCAGCCUCUAUAAUAGAGGCAGUUUUUCUCUUUUGGC